rnacentral:ncRNA from 2 species
GCAGGCUUGUCGGGGCGCCGCGGACGAAAGUCGAGGCUGAGACCACCAUGGGGUGGAACCCGCUGAACCUGAUCGGGGUCAUGCCCGCGUAGGAAUCAAGUGCAACGGUCGA